CUUUAAUCUCUCCUACUGGUCUUUAGAUGUUUGGCCCCAGAUGAGAUUCUUCUUUCAGGCAUCAGAGCUACUUUGUCUGGUGUGCCAACGCUACCUGUCCUCAACCCCUGGCCCAGUGACUACAGUGGCUGGCCCCAUGGCCCGGGAUGUGGAGAGCCUGGCCCUGUGUCUGCGAGCCCCGCUAAGUGAAGACAUGCACCGACUGGACCCUUUUAUGCCCUUCAGGGAGGAGGUAUACUCCAGUAACCAGCGCCUUCGAAUUGGCUUCUGUGAAACAGAUGGCUUCACCCAGCCAUCUCCUAGCAUGGCCAGGGCUGUGAGGCUCACCUCCAGGCUGCUCCAGGAUGCAGGACAUCAGGUAGGCUUGCUUACCCCUGGAUGGGGAGGGAAGCCAGACUGGCGAGGAGACUGGGCUGGGCCAUUCUUGGAGAGAAAGGAAGUUAUAUCUGAGUUUGAGCUGCUAACAUCACUGUGUUUCCCCUAGGCUUCCUGGAAAAGACUGAUGGGUGCAGGUGGGGGCAGGGUGGGCCCCACCCUGUGAGGAAGGCAUCAAGAUUUUGCAUCCUCCCCCUUCAGUGGUGGGGACCAGGGAUUCAUUCCUAUAAUUCCUAUAGAUUUGGUUUCUCCAUCAAAUGGCUGUAAGGAGAACUAUGUCCCCAAAAUCAUUUCCCUCCCCAGCCCCUGCCUCCCUCCAAUGUCUUGUCCUGGUCCUGUCUCCCCUUUGAGAACUGCUGGUUGGCCACAUGUGUACUAUGUGGUCUUGGGCCAGUCUCUUAACCACCUGGAGCCUCAGUUUUCUACCACAUAGGGCAGCUGUGCAGAUUAAAUGAGCUCACAUAUGUGAAGCACUCAGCAUGGGGCAGGAUCCCAGUGAAGCAGGCAGGGCUGCCUCAAUGCCAUGGCAUCUCUGUGUAGGGUGAAGGGCUGGGCAUGGCAGCAGAGGGGUUGGAGUGGAUGGAGAUGAGUGGCGAUUUGGUAUCCUCUCUUUAAAUCCUGAAGGAUGCAAAGAGAAUACCAGGCAGGGUGGGAGGAGCCCCAGGCCCCGACUCAGCCUCUGUCUCUCAGGUCAUCCCCUUCUCCAUCCCCCAUAUAAAGUAUGCUGUCAAACACCUGUUCGAGGGGGGUCUGUUUGCUGAUGGAGGGGCCACCCUUCUGGAGAAGCUUGAGGGGGACAUUGUGGACCCCUGCAUAAAGGGAAUGGUCAACUGGCUCCGCCUGCCAGACCUACUCAAGUGUUUCUUGGCCUGGAUCCUGAAGUACACAGAACCCCGAGCUAGCCAGACUUGUGAAGAGAUUCGUGGAGUGGGGACUCCCAAGAAACUGUGGGAGCAGCACGCAGCAGUGCAGGAAUAUCAGCAAAAGUUCAUAGCCAAGUGGAGGUCCCUGGACCUGGACGUGCUGCUGAUGCCAGCUAUGGACCCCGCCUUCCAUAUAUAUGCUAUUCUGAGAUAGGAACAGAUAUUGCCUCCUACACGGGCCUGUACAACAUCCUGAACUUCCCUGCUGGCGUUGUGCCGGUCACCACUGUGACGCCGCAGGACGAGGAGGAACUGGCCUUCUACAUGGGAUACUACAGAGAUAGUACCGACAA